UACGGGGGGGGCAAGCGUUGUUCGGAAUUACUGGGCGUAAAGGGCUCGUAGGCGGCCAACUAAGUCGGAUGUGAAAUCCCCAGGCUUAACCUGGGAACUGCAUCCGAUACUGGAUGGCUUGAAUCCGGGAGAGGGAUGCAGAAUUCCAGGUGUAGCGGUGAAAUGCGUAGAGAUCGGGAGGAACACCCGUGGCGAAGGCGGCCAACUGGGCCGGACCUGACGCUGAGGCGCGAAGGCGUGGGGAGCGAACGGG
rnacentral:rRNA from 1 species